AUGGCGUCGUCAAGCGGGCUGAGGAGCUGCAGCGCCGUGGGCGUGCCGAGCCUGCUGGCGCCUUCGUCCCGGUCCGGCCGCUCCGGGCUGCCGUUCUGCGCCUACGCCACCACCUCCGGCCGCGUCACCAUGUCCGCCGAGUGGUUCCCCGGCCAGCCCCGCCCCGCCCACCUCGACGGCUCCUCGCCAGGGGACUUCGGGUUCGACCCCCUGGGCCUCGCCACCGUGCCGGAGAACUUCGAGCGGUUCAAGGAGUCCGAGAUCUACCACUGCCGCUGGGCCAUGCUCUGCGUGCCUGGGGUGCUGGUGCCGGAGGCGCUGGGGCUGGGCAACUGGGUGAAGGCGCAGGAGUGGGCGGCGCUCCCCGACGGGCAGGCGACGUACCUGGGCAACCCGGUGCCGUGGGGCAACCUGCCGACCAUCCUGGCGAUCGAGUUCCUGGCCAUCGCCUUCGCGGAGCAGCAGCGCACCAUGGAGAAGGACCCGGAGAAGAAGAAGUACCCCGGCGGCGCCUUCGACCCGCUCGGCUUCUCCAAGGACCCCGCCAAGUUCGAGGAGCUCAAGCUCAAGGAGAUCAAGAACGGGCGGCUGGCGAUGCUGGCGUUCGUGGGGUUCUGCGUGCAGCAGUCGGCGUACCCCGGCACCGGCCCGCUGGAGAACCUGGCCACGCACCUCGCGGACCCGUGGCACAACAACAUCGGCGACAUCGUCAUCCCCAGAAAUAUCUACGGCCCUUGA
rnacentral:rRNA from 1 species